rnacentral:rRNA from 1 species
UUGACCUCGGAUCAGGUAGGAAUACCCGGUGAAC